rnacentral:rRNA from 1 species
GAUGAACGCUGGCGGCGUGCCUAAUACAUGCAAGUCGAGCGAACAGAUGAGGAGCUUGCUCCUCUGACGUUAGCGGCGGACGGGUGAGUAACACGUGGAUAACCUACCUAUAAGACUGGGAUAACUUCGGGAAACCGGAGCUAAUACCGGAUAAUAUAUUGAACCGCAUGGUUCAAUAGUGAAAGACGGUUUUGCUGUCACUUAUAGAUGGAUCCGCGCCGCAUUAGCUAGUUGGUAAGGUAACGGCUUACCAAGGCGACGAUGCGUAGCCGACCUGAGAGGGUGAUCGGCCACACUGGAACUGAGACACGGUCCAGACUCCUACGGGAGGCAGCAGUAGGGAAUCUUCCGCAAUGGGCGAAAGCCUGACGGAGCAACGCCGCGUGAGUGAUGAAGGUCUUCGGAUCGUAAAACGCUGUUAUUAGGGAAGAACAAAUGUGUAAGUAACUAUGCACGUCUUGACGGUACCUAAUCAGAAAGCCACGGCUAACUACGU